ACAGCAGCAGCCGCGGGAACACGAAGGGGGCUAGCGUUGCUCGGAAUGACUGGGCGUAAAGGGUGCGUAGGCGGCGGCCAAAGUCAGGCGUGAAAUCCCCGGGCUCAACCUGGGAACUGCAUUUGUGACUGGCAAACUAGAGUAUGGCAGAGGGGGGUGGAAUUCCGCGUGUAGCAGUGAAAUGCGUAGAUAUGCGGAGGAACACCGAUGGCGAAGGCAGCCCCCUGGGCCAAUACUGACGCUCAUGCACGAAAGCGUGGGGAGCAAACAGGAUUAGAUACCCCCGUAGUCCCUGUCUCUUAUAC
rnacentral:rRNA from 1 species